rnacentral:rRNA from 1 species
AGGGAAUAUUGGUCAAUGGACGGAAGUCUGAACCAGCCAUUCCGCGUGCAGGAAGAAGGUCCUAUGGACUGUAAACUGCUUUUAGCAGAGAAGAAACGCCUUCAUUUAUGAGGGUCUGACGGUAUCUGCGGAAUAAGCACCGGCUAACUCCGUGCCAGCAGCCGCGGUAAUACGGGGGGUGCAAGCGUUAUCCGGAAUCACUGGGUUUAAAGGGUGCGUAGGCGGGACAUUAAGUCAGUGGUGAAAGUCUGUUGCUUAACGAUAGAAUUGCCGUUGAUACUGAUGUUCUUGAAUUGGGUUGAGGUUAGCGGAAUGUGACAUGUAGCGGUGAAAUGCAUAGAUAUGUCAUGGAACACCAAUUGCGAAGGCAGCUAGCUGGGCCUUGAUUGACGCUGAGGCACGAAAGCGUGGGGAGCAAAC